CUACGGGGGGCAGCAGGUACGAAACCUUCACAAUGCAUGAAAGUGUGAUGAGGCUAACCGAAGUGCCAAUACUACGUAUUGGCUUUUGCCAAGUGUAAGGUGCUUGGCGAAUAAAGGGUGGGCAAUACCGGUGCCAGCAGCCGCGGUAACACCGGAGCCCUAAGUGGUGGCCAUGAUUAUUGGGCGUAAAGCGUCCGUAGCCGUUCUUACAAGUUCGCGGUGAAAUUCUGGGUCUUAAGCCCAGAGCGUGCUGAGAAUACUAUAAGAAUAGGGACUGGAGGGAGCAGAGAGAAUGCCAGGAGUAGAGGUGAAAUUCUGUAAUUCCUGGUAGACUACCAGUGGCGAAGGCGCUCUGCUAAAACAGGUCUGACGGUGAGGGACGAAAGCUUGGGUAGCGAACCGGAUUAGAUACCCGGGUAGUC
rnacentral:rRNA from 1 species